CAGAGGAAGUAAGGAAAGUAAAAGACGAACCUAUAACAUCUUGUAAUAAUCAAAAGAGAGGGGCCAAGGGGUUAUGUCCUUAGUCCAUCACAUAAAAGAUAUGUGAUAUUGGUUAUCUUACUAAAGAUGCUAAUUUUGAUAACUGACAGAGCCUCCAAAGUGAAACUGAAAAGUUUUGAGCAAUAUAAUAACUCAAAGAUACUUAGAAAUAUAUUCUUUCAUAAUCAAAUAGGGAGAGAGAAAAGAAAAUCAUCUUUAAGCCCAAAACCAGUGGCUCAUGCCUGUAAUCCUAGCUACUCAGGAGGCUGAGAU